GAUGAACGCUGGCGGCGUGCCUAAUACAUGCAAGUCGAGCGAACGGACGAGAAGCUUGCUUCUCUGAUGUUAGCGGCGGACGGGUGAGUAACACGUGGAUAACCUACCUAUAAGACUGGGAUAACUUCGGGAAACCGGAGCUAAUACCGGACAAUAUUUUGAACCGCAUGGUUAAAAAGUGAAAGACGGUCUUGCUGUCACUUAUAGAUGGAUCCGCGCUGCAUUAGCUAGUUGGUAAGGUAACGGCUUACCAAGGCAACGAUGCAUAGCCGACCUGAGAGGGUGAUCGGCCACACUGGAACUGAGACACGGUCCAGACUCCUACGGGAGGCAGCAGUAGGGAAUCUUCCGCAAUGGGCGAAAGCCUGACGGAGCAACGCCGCGUGAGUGAUGAAGGUCUUCGGAUCGUAAAACUCUGUUAUUAGGGAAGAACAUAUGUGUAAGUAACUGUGCACAUCUUGACGGUACCUAAUCAGAAAGCCACGGCUAACUACGUG
rnacentral:rRNA from 1 species